AGGCACCCGAGAUGUUGGAACGGUUCAAACUGAUCAUAGCUUCAAUCACUAUGCCUUGAUUCUGUGCUCUGAUUGAGCCGCGCCAAUAUCGCGUGCCUUUUC
rfam:Cajanus cajan CcLG05_20, whole genome shotgun sequence.